GAUGAACGCUGGCGGCGUGCUUAACACAUGCAAGUCGAACGAAGCACUAUAGCAGAUUUCCUUCGGGAAUGAAACUGUAGUGACUGAGUGGCGGACGGGUGAGUAACGCGUGGGUAACCUGCCUUGUACAGGGGGAUAACAGUUAGAAAUGACUGCUAAUACCGCAUAAGCAUACAGCACCGCAUGGUGCAGUGUGAAAAACUAUGGUGGUACAAGAUGGACCCGCGUCUGAUUAGCUAGUUGGUAAGGUAACGGCUUACCAAGGCGACGAUCAGUAGCCGGCCUGAGAGGGUGAACGGCCACAUUGGGACUGAGACACGGCCCAGACUCCUACGGGAGGCAGCAGUGGGGAAUAUUGCACAAUGGGGGAAACCCUGAUGCAGCGACGCCGCGUGAAGGAAGAAGUAUUUCGGUAUGUAAACUUCUGUUAUAAAGGAAGAACGGUACAUGGAGGGAAUGCCAUGUAAGUGACGGUACUUUAUGAGAAAGCCACGGCUAACUACGUGCCAGCCGCCGCGGUAAAAC
rnacentral:rRNA from 1 species